rnacentral:misc_RNA from 1 species
UUGUCCUCAACAGUGUCCAGAACCUGCAACAACAAUACUAUUCAACCUCCAAGGGAAGUGAUUUUAUGAAGACUCUUUAAUGAUCUUCUCCAUCAACCUGUAUGCUUUGCAUAUAAUUGCUCAUUCAAAGGGUUUCAAAAGCUAGGAAGAGUGCUAGAAUAGCUCAUAUUUUAUUAUUUGAAUAUCUCAAGCUCCUAACAUCUUGCAUGUACUUUGGACACCAAUAUCUAUCCAGAUUGAAAAACUGAGGUGAUUUGUGCACGUAUAAUAUGAAAUGUAUGUAAUACACAUAAAUCAAAGUAGUCAGGGCGAUAUAAAUAAAGAGGUUCAGCACAACUAGAACUAUAAAACUGAGAAAUCUAGUAAAUCAUAAGCUAUCCAGCACUCAGCAAAUUUGAAGCAAAAUUAGCAUCAGCUUAUCUAAGUAAUUUAUCAAGAAAAGUACAAAACAUAUAAUUGGUGGUUCUGGGAUUAUUAAUUCCUAUUAUACAAGACAAAUAUAUGGCAGCAUUAUUAUUUACUGACUCCAUGACAAAGCCAAAGAGAAUGAUGAUUCACCACAUUAUUCCAGAGAAAAUGAAGGAAUCUCUUCCAGGAAUAGAAAGGAAUGGAAAGCUUGGAAAUAAUGAUUUCUUACCCAUAGACGACGAAGUUGUGGG